rnacentral:rRNA from 1 species
ACCCACGUUCGGACUGCAGGCUGCAACUCGCCUGCACGAAGCCGGAGUUGCUAGUAAUCGCGGAUCAGAAUGCCGCGGUGAAUGCGUUCCCGGGUCUUGUACACACCGCCCGUCACACCAUGGAAGUUGGGGGUGCCCAAAGCCGGCAGGGAAAUAUGCUGUCUAAGGCAAAACUAAUGACUGGGGUGAAGUCGUAACAAGGUACC